UUCGUCACAGACAGUGCUUGCCUGCGCCCCGUCGAAGCGGAUCGGACGGAUUUAUUUAAAAAAAAAAAAAAAAAAAAACAAAACAAAAAAGAAUACUUCGUACGGUUCUUCUUAGCGUUUUGACAGAAGCGACGCAUUUUUUACCCUUUAGGUUACAGUAAACGGAUACCAGGGUAUAUAUUCUUCCACGGUAUACAUUUUCAGUGUAUUGGAAUGUGUCGCCGCCUUUGCGGAACUUACGUUUGUAGCUGCCGAUCCCCGCGGACACCAUUCGACGUUGUACUUUAAUGGGACUUCCUGUUUGGGGCAGUCAAACUUGUUGGAAUUAAAAGCAGAUUCAGAGCACAGUUAGAGAGGUUUCUUACUCUGCUGUUGCCUCUGUGGCGAAUCCCGUCGAUGUUUUACCACGCCACGGUCUUUCAGAAAUAAGAAAGCUCUGUUUGUUCUUUGUGUCAGAAGUUGCCACCUGAAUACCAGAUCAUCAUGUGAGAAAAAUGGGAGUUCUGCUGCCAGCUGAAGUUGACCUCUGACCCUGCUGAUGAGCCUGGACUUGUGAGGAAGCAGGUUUAACUGACCUGCUGUUUAUGGGAUGAGACAGACUGUUCCUUUGGUUUAACAUCCAGUUGUGGAUCACAUUUCACAGUUCCGGAUAUGUCAAGUAACACUUUGACUUAGUUUAAAGCCAGCGAGGAGAAGAAAAGAAAAAGUUGUACCGGACAAGAACAAAGUAUAAGACAUAUUUGAUUGUGUUGCACUGAAAGGGACUGACCCGAUACCCCCAUCAUCAGCUGUCCCUUUUCACAAGUCUGUCAAUGGUCACACUCCAUUGUAUCAUCAUAGAAAAUCCAUUUUAUGCACACAGUUGUGCUGCUUUAAAAAGGACAGGAAGUCUUACAAAAUCAGACACGUAGGUGCAGUUGAUUACAAAUGAUAAAAGCAAUUAAAAAUAGUCUGUGACAGUGCACAGAGUGACUCAAAGCAAUUUUUUUUUCCAUGGUGCCAAGUACAUUCAGAAAAAACAACACAUUACACACUUUGUAGUCAUAAGGAAGCCCCCUUCCCUCAGAGAGCCUCUCUGCAUGGUGCAGUCUUGUCCUGGACCACUGAGCUCAGUUCGACUCUUCCACAUUACAUAAAAUCCCUCUCGAUUAAUGAAUGACAAUUUACAAUAAGAGAAAUUCCCCCACCUUCCAAAUGUGGUUUAAUGUUUCUUUCCUUUCUCAGCACAAAGAACUGAACGGUGUACAAGUUGUGCAAUUUCCUCAGACACUCCUUAAGCUAUUUCAGGUCACCAUGAGAAAGGACACUAACGUUACCAUUAGAAAGCGACCAGUUUCCUCUGAACAGAUCUGAAAUGCGAGGCCCUGAAAGUGGAGGAAACAGUGAAGAGGGAAAGAAAAAGGAAAGAUUUGUUCCCCUCCCUUUUGGCAGCAUACAUCAUUACAGGGAAAAGAAAAUUGUUCUGCUUCAGGUAAUUUCACAGACACCAUAUUUCCUGGGGGGGGUGUCACCAUCUAUGAUCGGGAUGCACUCCCACACACAAACACACGUACACCUACGGACUAGCGUUAUAUUUGCAUCUGAAGUUUGACAAAACAGCAAACCCGUUCUCCCAGACAGAUGACAGCCAGUCCUACACAAAGAUUUUCAUCUAAGGAU